UGGAAUUGGGGUGGGAGGAGGAAGCGACAAGAAAGGGAAGGAGAAGGGACUCUUCAUAUUCGGAAAGGUUAUUGAAAUGCAUGUGAUGGGUUUAAGGUAUUUUGUCUCUGUGUGUAUGUGUGUGUGUUUUUAUUUUAUUAAUAAUAUAUAAAGUAAGUUUCAGAUUAUUGCAUUUGGAUUUUUAUAAACACAAGUGGGGACAUAUUUUUGGGUUUCUUCUGUCACAUUUUUGCACUCACUUUCCCCUCCACUUUUCUUGUUAUUUAUUUUUAAUUUUUAUGCUUACAAGUGUAAAUUAUUAAUCACUAACCAACAAAACUCUCUCUUAAUUCAAUUACAUUACCCACCGUUUAUUUUGAAUUCCUCUAGUUUUUCUUUUCUAAUUCCUCCACUAAAACCCUUCCCCAUUGUUAAUUAUUUGUGUGUUGAAUGAUUAACAUGUUGUUCAUUGCGUAAUACGAUUUACUUUACACAAUUAAUUAACACUUCCUUAUUAACUCUAUUAGCUUCUUUAAUCAAACUGCAAUGUGAAAAUCAUAAGUUUAGUUUAUGUUAUGGUUGAAGUUAAGGGCGGUGUUCUCAUCCCAAACGAAUACAAGACAAAUUAAAAACAAUUGAGUUGUUCGGUCCAAUUGGUUUGCCUCAGCCUUGGAGGCUAAAGCCAACUUACCCUAUCUGACUUUGAUAGAUGCCAAAGAAGAAAGGGUGAAUCAAUCGGGUUGCUCGACCUUUCAACCGCAUUUGCCUUGCAACUAUGUUUUAGAAGAUGUUAAAAGGAGAGGACAAAAGAAAUUGGGCUGAUUGCCUGAACCCCCCUCCCCCUCCCCUUGAUGCCAACUUUAAUUUAUCACAUUCUCUAUAGCAUGUUCUCAAUAAGCUUCUUAUAUGGCUUUGUUGUGUGCCCCAACUCAAUACUCAGUAGUUUGAUUUGCGAGUUAUUUUCCUAACCUUAUGUGCAUACAACUAUUAUAUAGAGCAUGAUAGUUCCGCGUCAAUUAAGUAGUUCAUGUUCUUCCCAAUAUUUUACUACGACCUUUUUUGUGAAAACUAACCUGUAACACAAUGUUGCAAGUGAUCCCUUCCCCACAAUACAAAUGCAAAGACGGCAACACAAGAAGGUUCAAAUCUUCAUUUUUUUCAAUAGUAAUUUAGUAUAAGAUUUUUGUCAACUGGAUUUAAAAAUUUAUCAUUUCUAAAUUGAGUUCGAAUCUUCAAGUUUAGAGACCAAGUAGAUAUAAAACCUUGUGGUAUAAUUUCUUUUUCUUUUAACGAAGUUUGCAUUAAGAAAAUUGAAGCUUAAUCUAUGGGUAUUUGAACACCAACUUGUGGGAGGAUCUUUGAGCAUCUAGUUUGUAAUGGUUAGUGUUUUCAACUGUUUAUAGCCAUGAUUGGUGUCCCGUUGGGUUUUACCCAAUCGAUCGGGUAAUUUGGGCAUCAAUUCGUUUGAAUGAAAUCUGCCCGAAGUAAAUUGAGGCCUAGGCCCAGGCCCAUUUACAGUUGUUACGAACUAACGGGCCCGGAUGAAUAUUUCACGCUUUCCAGGACGGGGCUACAAUUUUCCGAUCAGCCGCCGGUCAGUGUUCUAUCUUUUGUAUCCAUUUGAAGCCGAGCAAUGUUCGAAAGUCUUGCUUAUGUAAUACUUUACUAACCGAUUUUCAUAUUUGCCCAUUUUCCGCUACGGAAAGAGGAACAUUAUUAAUGGUGACUGCAAUGUACGGCUGGAGGUGCCUUGAUGCCGUUACUUGCUACGUUAAGACCACGGGUUUGGUUGAAGGUUAUCUUGAUUGUUGGGAGUUUGGCAUCAUGUGCCAUUUAUGAUUGUUGUUGAAGAUGGUUGCGCUUACGUUGGAAAAUCAACUUGUGUAUUGAAAUCCAUGAGUAGGCGCCAACCAAGUAACUUUUCUUUCCUUGAUUGGGUCUGUACUGCUUCUACUAUUGUGCUUUACAUAUUUGUGUGUACAGUUGCUAAAAGAGACAACUAACACUUUUUUAAAGGAAACACUCCGAGGGAACAGAAAAGCUGAUGUUAUUUGUUU